AUACGUAGGGAGCGAGCGUUGUCCGGAAUUACUGGGCGUGAAGAGCUCGUAGGUGGUUUGUCGCGUCGUCUGUGAAAUUCCGGGGCUUAACUCCGGGCGUGCGGGCGAUACGGGCAUAACUUGAGUACUGUAGGGGAGACUGGAAUUCCUGGUGUAGCGGUGAAAUGCGCAGAUAUCAGGAGGAACACCGGUGGCGAAGGCGGGUCUCUGGGCAGUAACUGACGCUGAGGAGCGAAAGCAUGGGUAGCGAACAGGAUUAGAUACCCUGGUAGUCCAUGCCGUAAACGGUGGGCGCUAGGUGUAGGGGUCUUCCACGACUUCUGUGCCGUAGCUAACGCAUUAAGCGCCCCGCCUGGGGAGUACGGCCGCAAGGCUAAAACUCAAAGGAAUUGACGGGG
rnacentral:rRNA from 1 species